rnacentral:tRNA from 1 species
GCGGAUAUGGUUCAGUGGUAGAAUGCGAGCUUCCCAAGCUUGAGAUGCGGGUUCGAUUCCCGUUAUCCGCU